CGGGAAUCUCGCCGAACUGGUGAUGGCGUUGACCUGCACGUUGUCGAAGCCGGACAGGACGGCGCGCCGCUCGUGGUUCUGCUCCACGGUUUUCCGG
rnacentral:tRNA from 1 species